rnacentral:rRNA from 1 species
UACGUAGGGGGCAAGCGUUGUCCGGAUUUAUUGGGCGUAAAGAGCGUGUAGGCGGCCAGACAGGUCAGCUGUGAAAACUCGAGGCUCAACCUCGAGACGUCGGUUGAAACCGUCUGGCUAGAGUCCGGAAGAGGAGAGUGGAAUUCCCGGUGUAGCGGUGAAAUGCGCAGAUAUCGGGAAGAACACCCGUGGCGAAGGCGGCACGCUGGACCUCAUCUGACGCUGAGGCGCGAAAGCCAGGGGAGCAAACGGG